rnacentral:rRNA from 1 species
GACGAACGCUGGCGGCGUGCUUAACACAUGCAAGUCGAACGGAAAGGCCCUGCUUUUGUGGGGUGCUCGAGUGGCGAACGGGUGAGUAACACGUGAGUAACCUGCCCUUGACUUUGGGAUAACUUCAGGAAACUGGGGCUAAUACUGGAUAGGAGCUCCUGCUGCAUGGUGGGGGGUGGAAAGUUUCGGCGGUUGGGGAUGGACUCGCGGCUUAUCAGCUUGUUGGUGGGGUAGUGGCUUACCAAGGCUUUGACGGGUAGCCGGCCUGAGAGGGUGACCGGCCACAUUGGGACUGAGAUACGGCCCAGACUCCUACGGGAGGCAGCAGUGGGGAAUAUUGCACAAUGGGCGGAAGCCUGAUGCAGCAACGCCGCGUGCGGGAUGACGGCCUUCGGGUUGUAAACCGCUUUCGCCUGUGACGAAGCGUGAGUGACGGUAAUGGGUAAAGAAGCACCGGCUAACUACGUG